UACGUAGGGGGCAAGCGUUGUCCGGAAUCAUUGGGCGUAAAGCGCGUGUAGGCGGUUCGGUAAGUCCGCUGUGAAAGUCCAGGGCUCAACCCUGGGAUGCCGGUGGAUACUGUCGGGCUAGAGUACGGAAGAGGCGAGUGGAAUUCCCGGUGUAGCGGUGAAAUACGCAGAUAUCGGGAAGAACACCCGUGGCGAAGGCGGCUCUCUGGGACGGUACUGACGCUGAGACGCGAAAGCGUGGGGAGCGAACAGG
rnacentral:rRNA from 1 species